rnacentral:snoRNA from 1 species
UCGCUAUGAUGAAAUUGAUUCCUAAGUCAUUCGUAGUUUCCACCUGAGGCUAAGGCUAAAGAAGGUAAAGUGUCCUUCCUUGGAUGUCUGAGCGA